rnacentral:rRNA from 1 species
AUGAGGUAUUCACCCCCUUGUUCUCCUCACCAGCCCCCGUUCCCCUCCCUCGCCUACUCCAAUCGCCCUGAUCUGGAUCGGGGUGUUACAACCUGCGGCGGCGGAGUAGGUAGGAUGCCGAAGCGAGCGGCCUCCCGAGCGCCGAUCCGCUGCCGUCGACGGAAGCGUCCGAGAUUACCUCACGAUCCGUCUCGCCCCGCGUUCGAGGCGCAGAUCCGAUCUCGGGGAAUCAAGCGAAAGAGCGAUGUGGUUGAAGCUUGCUCCUCAACCGCUCAGACGAACACUUGUUGGGGAUCAAAGCGCGUGCGCACCGCCCUCAGUUCUACUACUACGCCUGCGCUCUCCGUCCGCUCCCUAACCCCCUACCCCAAGUGGUGGUGGCGGAGUUUACAUCUGCUGUUAUUAUUCUCCAGUCCAAAGGCGCUUUCCGGCCUUGACAGGCGCGUCCAUCUAGCAGUUGAUUUUGGUCGAGAUUACUGUUGGAAUCACACCCGUUUAUUCGGAUCUCAAUCUGAUUCAUUCAGUAGCUGGGGAAGGAGGGACUGGCCGAACAUUGGCGGGGACGGGCCGGCCGGCCUGAUUGCGGAGCUCGUCCUCGCCAACGACGUGGCCGACUACAUCCGCUUCCGCGCUGUGUGCCCGCCGUGGCGCCGGUCCUCGCUGGACCCACGCUUGGUAGGUGGCCUGGAUGGCCGCUUUCUCCCCCGGCGUUGGAUCAUGCUUGACAAGGCCAUCGCUACCAGUCCCUGCUGUUACGGGCUGUUCAAUAUCUCCACCGGUGAGUGCAUUAAGACGGACCUCCCGGAGCUUGCGGAGCACAAGUUGCUCGCGCUCAUCCCCGAGGGUCUCCUCCUGCUGCUCCACGAGCCCCACCCUCCUUGCCCGUCUUCUUAA